CCCUUAGAUGUUCUGGGCCGCACGCGCGCUACACUGACAGAGCCAACGAGUUCUUUGCCUUGGCCGGAAGGUCUGGGUAAUCUUGUUAAACUCUGUCGUGCUGGGGAUAGAGCAUUGCAAUUAUUGCUCUUCAACGAGGAAUGCCUAGUAAGCGCGUGUCAUCAGCAUGCGUUGAUUACGUCCCUGCCCUUUGUACACACCGCCCGUCGCUACUACCGAUUGAAUGGCUCAGUGAGGCCUUCGGACUGGCGCGGGGAGGUUGGCAACGACCACCCCAAGCCGGAAAGUUCGUCAAACUCGGUCAUUUAGAGGAAGUAAAAGUCGUAACA
rnacentral:rRNA from 1 species